rnacentral:rRNA from 1 species
GCUUGUCUCAAAGAUUAAGCCAUGCAUGUCUAAGUAUAAACGACUUUAUACUGUGAAACUGCGAAUGGCUCAUUAUAUCAGUUAUAGUUUAUUUGAUGGUCCUUGCUACUUGGAUAACCGUAGUAAUUCUAGAGCUAAUACAUGCACAAAGGCCCGACUCACGAAGGGCUGUAUUUAUUAGAUUUAAAGCCGACAUCUUUUGGUGAUUCAUAAUAACUUUUCGAACCUCAUGCCUUUAUGGUGGAGGUGAUUCAUUCAAAUUUCUGCCCUAUCAAUUGGCGAUGGUAGGAUAGAGGCCUACCAUGGUGUUAACGGGUGACGGGGGAUUAGGGUUCGAUUCCGGAGAGGCAGCCUGAGAAACGGCUACCACAUCCAAGGAAGGCAGCAGG